rnacentral:rRNA from 1 species
UUUGCCUACGGGGGGCAGCAGUAGGGAAUUUUCGUCAAUGGGCGCAAGCCUGAACGAGCAAUGCCGCGUGAACGAGGAAGGUCUUCGGAUCGUAAAGUUCUGUUGAAGGGGAAAAAGAGCGGAGAGAGGAAAUGGUCUCCGAUUGAUAUUACCCUUCGAGGAAGUCACGGCUAACUACGUGCCAGCAGCCGCGGUAAUACGUAGGUGGCGAGCGUUAUCCGGAAUGAUUGGGCGUAAAGGGUGCGUAGGCGGUUGAGUAAGACAGAUGUGAAAUCCCCGAG